rnacentral:rRNA from 1 species
UACGUAGGGCGACGACGUUGUUCGGAUUUACUGGGCGUAAAGGGUGCGUAGGCGGUUGGGUAAGUCUGACGUGAAAUCUCCGAGCCUAACUCGGAAACUGCGUUGGAUACUAUCCGGCUAGAGGAAUGGAGGGGAGACUGGAAUACUUGGUGUAGCAGUGAAAUGCGUAGAUAUCAAGUGGAACACCAGUGGCGAAGGCGAGUCUCUGGACAUUUCCUGACGCUGAGGCACGAAAGCCAGGGGAGCAAACGGG